rnacentral:rRNA from 1 species
GAUAUAUGACAAAGGGCGAAAGCCUGAUCCAGCCAUGCCUCGCGUGUGAAGAAGGUCUUCGUAUUUUUAAGCACUCUAUGUUGGGAGGAAGGGCAGUAAGUUACUACCUUGCUGUCUUGACGUUACUGACAGAAUAAGCACCGGCUAACUUCGUGCCAGCAGCCGUGGUAAUGCGGAGGGUGCGAGCGUUAAUCGGAAUUACUGGGCGUAAAGCGCGCGUAGGUGGUUUGUUAAGUUGGAAGUGAAAGCCCCGGGCUCAACCUGGGAACUGCUUUCAAAACUGGCAAGCUAGAGUAUGGCAGAGGGUGGUGGAAUUUACUGUGUAGCGGUGAAAUGCGUAGAUAUAGGAAGGAACACCAGUGGCGAAGGCGACCACCUGGGCUAAUACUGACACUGAGGUGCGAAAGCGUGGGGAGCAAAC